AGUGAACGCUGGCGGUAGGCCUAACACAUGCAAGUCGAACGGCAGCACAGUAAGAGCUUGCUCUUACGGGUGGCGAGUGGCGGACGGGUGAGGAAUACAUCGGAAUCUACUUUUUCGUGGGGGAUAACGUAGGGAAACUUACGCUAAUACCGCAUACGACCUACGGGUGAAAGCAGGGGAUCUUCGGACCUUGCGCGAUUGAAUGAGCCGAUGUCGGAUUAGCUAGUUGGCUGGGUAAAGGCCCACCAAGGCGACGAUCCGUAGCUGGUCUGAGAGGAUGAUCGGCCACACUGGAACUGAGACACGGACCAGACUCCUACGGGAGGCAGCAGUGGGGAAUAUUGGACAAUGGGCGCAAGCCUGAUCCAGCCAUACCGCGUGGGUGACGAAGGCCUUCGGGUUGUAAAGCCCUUUUGUUGGGAAAGAAAAGCAGUAGGUUAAUACGCCGCUGUUCUGACGGUACCCAAAGAAUAAGCACCGGCUAACUUCGUG
rnacentral:rRNA from 1 species